rnacentral:snoRNA from 1 species
AUAUGAUGAUUUCUAGAUGACGAGUCUUAUUCGAGUUUUCGAUGCAGACAACAUCUUUUUUAUACCAUUCAUGCUUUCCUGACA